CGUACACUCCUACGGGAGGCAGCAGUGGGGAAUAUUGGACAAUGGGCGCAAGCCUGAUCCAGCCAUGCCGCGUGAGUGAUGAAGGCCCUAGGGUUGUAAAGCUCUUUCACCGGUGAAGAUAAUGACGGUAACCGGAGAAGAAGCCCCGGCUAACUUCGUGCCAGCAGCCGCGGUAAUACGAAGGGGGCUAGCGUUGUUCGGAUUUACUGGGCGUAAAGCGCACGUAGGCGGACUAUUAAGUCAGGAGUGAAAUCCCGGGGCUCAACCCCGGAACUGCCUUUGAUACUGGUAGUCUUGAGUUCGAGAGAGGUGAGUGGAAUUCCGAGUGUAGAGGUGAAAUUCGUAGAUAUUCGGAGGAACACCAGUGGCGAAGGCGGCUCACUGGCUCGAUACUGACGCUGAGGUGCGAAAGCGUGGGGAGCAAACAGGAUUAGAAACCCUAGUAGUCCC
rnacentral:rRNA from 1 species